rnacentral:tRNA from 1 species
GGGGUUAUAGUUUAGUUGGGCAAAAUACUGGCCUGUCACGCCGGAGCCGAGAGUUCGAUUCUCUCUAACCUCG